GCCCACCUCCCACGUAUUCACAUUUCCAUCUCCAUUGUUACCAUAUAAUUUUAUUCAUUCAAUCGUUUCUUCUUUUUUAAAUAAAAAACUUAUUCCCAGGAUUGGUGUAUUCAAAUUCGUUUUUCAUCUCCUCCUUGUUUACUUCUUUGCUUCCAAAACAAAUUUUAAUUAAUUAACACCUUCCUAACUAUUCAACUAUUAAAUUUUGGAAAAAGCAUCGCAUCCUAAAUGUAAUUAAAAGUAAACAUUAAUAAAAUAUUAAAAAAAAAAACAACCCGACUUAAAAUGAACUAAUAAUUACAUGUUAUAAAUGCACUUUAAUUACAAGUUUGUUCUAAUUUCUUUUUCUAAAAAAAGAACUCUCAUUAGUAAAUAAGUAGAUCAUCAACUUUAUCAAAUUCAAUCAUUUUUUUAAAAAAAAAAAUUAACGAGUGAAUCUGUAUAAAUCAAAUUGAAUUCUGUGUUUGACAAAAUAAAAUGUAAUUUUCAAAAGUGUUGAAAAAUCAAAUAAUUUUCGUUAAAUUAAAUUAGAAAUAAUUAAAGGGGAAUUGGUCUCACCAUGCCGGCGCCGAUCAAAUACUGAACAGUCCGUUCAAUCAUCGUCAUAUCAACUCGACCGGAUAAAUAAAGGUAUGUCCGGAGCAAGUCGCCGUGCCGGUUCUCCUCUGCGGUCCAAUUCCGGGUCCAGGUAGCCCAGGGGCUCUGGCUAGCCCCAGUCUCAUCCUUAACUCCAUCCAGCGUAUUAAUCAUGGUCUGAUAAGUGGGCAAUGCAUCCUCCGUAAUCAUAUCCCCAACCAACACCACAAAGUACUCAUCCGGCAGCUCCGCCGUCCGAUCCCGCAGAGCCCUGACUUCCUCCACAAAUUCCCCGUAGGGCAGAGUAGAAU
rnacentral:lncRNA from 1 species